GCCGAUCCUUUUAAUCCCGAGCCUGACUUCUGCUCUGCGCGCCCGAUUCCUCUCUUCCCAGAUCUCCCCUCUGCUUGACACGCUCUCUCUCACGGACGACUCGAAGACGACGGAACGGAGCUUCGACCUUCGGCGAUCGACAGUGUCACUUGAGGAGGAAGUCGCCGGAUCUCGACGAUACCGGCGAAGUCCAAGCCAUCUUUAGUAAUCGAUACCUAGGGCACGACUGAUCGCCUGCUUCUCGCCGGACCUUUUCUUCUUUCCUCGGCACUGCCGGUGUAGAUUUAUUCCCGGAGCCUCAAGGAUGAGCUAUCUUGUUCUUCUUUGAUUUCCCGCAAACCUCAGCGCCGAACCUUUCCUCGAUUCCUCCUCUUCCUCUUGUGGCGCUGUGCCCUAGCCGGAUCUUGGAGAGACGUUCGAUUGUUGAGGUAAUCUGGUGGGGGAGUCUUCCUCCGGCAGCAACCAUCUAUGGUUGAGGAUCAGCAGAAAGUGAACUGUUGAUUGCCUCUAAACCUUACGUGAGAAAGAUUCCAGCAGGGAAGUUUAGUUAUGUGGUGUUCUUUGGUCCCAUCAGCUACUCUUUCAUGGCAGUAACGAUUCUGGAUUGGGGAUCAACAGAAGGGGCUGAGCUUGAGUUAAGAUUGGGAGGCCAGGGUAUAGGGUCUCAAAGCAAUUUGAUCCAGAGACAAAACAACGGUCUCUUCUAUUUCAGGACCUUAAGAUUGUUUAAUUCAAACAAGGGAAGGAAAGGUAGAAAAAAAGGCUAUGUGGGAAGUAGUAAAGGCUCCUCGACAACAAGAUGCCAAACAAUGUGGUUAUUAUGUGAUGUGAUUUAUGAGACAAAUUGUUGAAGAAGUUGAAAUUAUCGAGAGAGAUUCCCUACGAUCUAUAUUCACACAAAAGGAGUAUUCUCGAGAAGAAAUUGAUGAGGUGCGAUCGGAGUUGGCAGAAUGUAUACAAGAUCAUAUUUAUGAGUAGAUGCGUUCAAGUUUAUCCAACCCUUUGUUUCAAAGUAUUUUGAUGUUAUUGAUCCUUCAAGGACGAACAACAAUCUUUGACAAAGUUUCAGAACAAGAUACACAGUGGUAGGUGUUUUGUGCCAAGUCUCAAGCCGACAAUCCUUUUUGAACAAUAUUUCUAGUAGAAGUAAGCAUGCAGAUCGUUAUCUUCGAGGCCGGCUCACUAUUUUGUGUUUGUUUGUUUUAAAUUUGAAUGUCACUAUCUACUAUGAAACAGAACUAUUUAGUCUUUGUAUAUAGUUGAAUUCUUCUAUAAAUUCUAAUAUUUUGUGGUUGUAUUCUA